rnacentral:rRNA from 1 species
GACGAGGCUGAUAGCGGCUGAGAGGCGACCGGCCACACUGGGACUGAGACACGGCCCAGACUCCUACGGGAGGCAGCAGUGGGGAAUAUUGCACAAUGGGCGAAAGCCUGAUGCAGCGACGCCGCGUGAGGGAUGACGGCCUUCGGGUUGUAAACCUCUUUCAGCAGGGAAGAAGCGAAAGUGACGGUACCUGCAGAAGAAGCGCCGGCUAACUACGUGCCAGCAGCCGCGGUAAUACGUAGGGCGCAAGCGUUGUCCGGAAUUAUUGGGCGUAAAGAGCUCGUAGGCGGCUUGUCGCGUCUGGUGUGAAAGCCCGGGGCUUAACCCCGGGUCUGCAUUCGAUACGGGCAGGCUAGAGUGCGGUAGGGGAGAUCGGAAUUCCUGGUGUAGCGGUGAAAUGCGCAGAUAUCAGGAGGAACACCGGUGGCGAAGGCGGGUCUCUGGGCCGAUACUGACGCUGAGGAGCGAAAGCGUGGGGAGCGAACAGGAUUAGAUACCCUGGUAGUCCAUGCCGUAAACGGUGGGCACUAGGUGUGGGGGACAUUCCACGUCGUCCGUGCCGCAGCUAACGCAUUAAGUGCCCCGCCUGGGGGGAGUACGGA